AACGAGCGCUGGCGGCAGGCCUAACACAUGCAAGUCGAACGCUCCGCAAGGGGAGUGGCAGACGGGUGAGUAACACGUGGGAAUCUUCCUAUUGGUACGGAAUAGCUCAGGGAAACUUGGGUAAUACCGUAUAAGCCCGUGAGGGGAAAGAUUUAUCGCCGAUAGAUGAGCCCGCGUCUGAUUAGCUAGUUGGUGAGGUAACGGCUCACCAAGGCGACGAUCAGUAGCUGGUCUGAGAGGAUGACCAGCCACACUGGGACUGAGACACGGCCCAGACUCCUACGGGAGGCAGCAGUGGGGAAUAUUGGACAAUGGGCGCAAGCCUGAUCCAGCCAUGCCGCGUGAGUGACGAAGGUCUUCGGAUUGUAAAGCUCUUUUGCCAGGGACGAUAAUGACGGUACCUGGAGAAUAAGCCCCGGCUAACUUCGUGCCAGCCGCCGCCGUAAAAC
rnacentral:rRNA from 1 species